AAUGAACGCUGGCGGCGUGCUUAACACAUGCAAGUCGCACGAGAACGCUUCAGCUUGCUGGAGCUAGUAAAGUGGCGCACGGGUGAGUAACGCGUGGGUAAUCUACCUCCGAAUUGGGGAUAACACUGCGAAAGCGGUGCUAAUACCGAAUGACAUCUCAGGGACCUCGGUAUCUAAGAUCAAAGGUGGCCUCUACAUGUAAGCUACUGUUUGGAUAUGAGCCAGCGUACCAUUAGCUAGUUGGUAGGGUAAUGGCCUACCAAGGCUGCGAUGGUUAGCUGGUCUGAGAGGAUGAUCAGCCACACUGGAACUGACACACGGUCCAGACUCCUACGGGAGGCAGCAGUGAGGAAUUUUGCGCAAUGGGGGAAACCCUGACGCAGCAACGCCGCGUGAGUGAUGAAGGCUUUCGGGUCGUAAAGCUCUGUCAAGUGGGAAGAAUAUGCCCCGUGAUAAUACCAUAGGGCACUGACGGUACCACUGAAGGAAGCACCGGCUAACUACGUGCCAGCAGCCGCGGUAAAAC
rnacentral:rRNA from 1 species